GACAGAGGGUGCAAACGUUGUUCGGAAUUACUGGGCGUAAAGCGCGUGUAGGCGGCAGCGUGUGUCGGGCGUGAAAUCCCACGGCUCAACCGUGGAAGUGCACUCGAAACUGCGCAGCUUGAGUCCUGGAGAGGAAGGUGGAAUGCUUGGUGUAGAGGUGAAAUUCGUAGAUAUCAAGCGGAACACCGGUGGCGAAGGCGGCCUUCUGGACAGUGACUGACGCUGAGACGCGAAAGCGUGGGGAGCAAACAGG
rnacentral:rRNA from 1 species